rnacentral:lncRNA from 1 species
CGGGUUAAAGGGUUUUUCCAAUUAAAGUGAAAAUUUUGAAAUAGGGAUUAUUUUAUUGUUCAAAGUCGCCACUUGGAAUUGGUUUUCAGUGUUCCAAGUCACCUUUUAUUUAAAUCCUUAGUCAAAGAAAAUUUGACUCUAUUUUUAUCGGUCCUCGAAAACAAAGUUCGGGUAAGGAAUUCUGUUGACCGAGGAGAAGGUGCAAGGCAUUCCUCGAGUCCCGUGAUUCAAGCACAGUCGCUUUAUUGACUUAAAAAUUAGGCUUAAAUUAAUUCGGAUAAAUUG